CACGUGAAAUCCCGUCGGAAUCUGGGAGGACCAUCUCCCAACCCUAAAUACUCCCUAGUGACCGAUAGUGAACCAGUACCGUGAGGGAAAGGUGAAAAGCACCCCGGGAGGGGAGUGAAAUAGAACCUGAAACCGUGUGCCUACAACAAGUUCGAGCCCGUUAAUGGGUGAGAGCGUGCCUUUUGUAGAAUGAACCGGCGAGUUACGUUAUGAUGCGAGGUUAAGUUGAAGAGACGGAGCCGUAGGGAAACCGAGUCUGAAUAGGGCGCCUUAGUAUCAUGACGUAGACCCGAAACCAUGUGACCUACCCAUGAGCAGGUUGAAGGUGCGGUAAGACGCACUGGAGGACCGAACCAGGGCACGUUGAAAAGUGCUUGGAUGACUUGUGGGUAGCGGAGAAAUUCCAAACGAACUUGGAGAUAGCUGGUUCUCUCCGAAAUAGCUUUAGGGCUAGCGUCGACAUUAGAGAUUCUUGGAGGUAGAGCACUGUUUGGGUGAGGGGUCCAUCCCGGAUUACCAAUCUCAGAUAAACUCCGAAUGCCAAUGAAUUAUGGUCGGCAGUCAGACUGCGAGUGCUAAGAUCCGUAGUCGAAAGGGAAACAGCCCAGACCACCAGCUAAGGUCCCAAAAUAAUUGUUAAGUGGAAAAGGAUGUGGGGUUGCACAGACAACUAGGAUGUUAGCUUAGAAGCAGCUAUUCAUUCAAAGAGUGCGUAAUAGCUCACUAGUCGAGUGACCCUGCGCCGAAAAUGUACCGGGGCUAAAACAAUUUACCGAAGCUGUGGAUACCUUUAUAGGUAUGGUAGGAGAGCGUUCUAUGUGUGAUGAAGGUAUACCGUGAGGAGUGCUGGAACGCAUAGAAGUGAGAAUGCCGGUAUGAGUAGCGAAAGACAGGUGAGAAUCCUGUCCACCGUAAGACUAAGGUUUCCAGGGGAAGGCUCGUCCGCCCUGGGUUAGUCGGGACCUAAGGAGAGACCGAAAGGUGUAUCCGAUGGACAACAGGUUGAUAUUCCUGUACUAGAGUAUGUAGUGAUGGAGGGACGCAGUAGGCUAACUAAAGCAGACGAUUGGAAGAGUCUGUCUAAGCAGUGAGGUGUGAAUUGAGUCAAAUGCUUAAUUCUAUAACAUUGAGCUGUGAUGGGGAGCGAAGUUUAGUAGCGAAGUUAGUGACGUCACACUGCCAAGAAAAGCUUCUAGCGUUUAAACAUACUCUACCCGUACCGCAAACCGACACAGGUAGUCGAGGCGAGUAGCCUCAGGUGAGCGAGAGAACUCUCGUUAAGGAACUCGGCAAAAUGACCCCGUAACUUCGGGAGAAGGGGUGCUGACUUUAAGUCAGCCGCAGUGAAUAGGCCCAAGCAACUGUUUAUCAAAAACACAGCUCUCUGCUAAAUCGUAAGAUGAUGUAUAGGGGGUGACGCCUGCCCGGUGCUGGAAGGUUAAGAGGAGUGCUUAGCGUAAGCGAAGGUAUGAAUUGAAGCCCCAGUAAACGGCGGCCGUAACUAUAACGGUCCUAAGGUAGCGAAAUUCCUUGUCGGGUAAGUUCCGACCCGCACGAAAGGCGUAAUGAUUUGGGCACUGUCUCAACGAGAGACUCGGUGAAAUUUUAGUACCUGUGAAGAUGCAGGUUACCCGCGACAGGACGGAAAGACCCCAUGGAGCUUUACUGCAGUUUGAUAUUGAGUGUCUGUACCACAUGUACAGGAUAGGUAGGAGUCUAAGAGAUCGGGACGCCAGUUUCGAAGGAGACGCUGUUGGGAUACUACCCUUGUGUUAUGGCCACUCUAACCCAGAUAGGUGAUCCCUAUCGGAGACAGUGUCUGACGGGCAGUUUGACUGGGGCGGUCGCCUCCUAAAAGGUAACGGAGGCGCCCAAAGGUUCCCUCAGAAUGGUUGGAAAUCAUUCGCAGAGUGUAAAGGUAUAAGGGAGCUUGACUGCGAGAGCUACAACUCGAGCAGGGACGAAAGUCGGGCUUAGUGAUCCGGUGGUUCCGUAUGGAAGGGCCAUCGCUCAACGGAUAAAAGCUACCCUGGGGAUAACAGGCUUAUCUCCCCCAAGAGUUCACAUCGACGGGGAGGUUUGGCACCUCGAUGUCGGCUCGUCGCAUCCUGGGGCUGUAGUCGGUCCCAAGGGUUGGGCUGUUCGCCCAUUAAAGCGGCACGCGAGCUGGGUUCAGAACGUCGUGAGACAGUUCGGUCCCUAUCCGUCGCGGGCGUAGGAAAUUUGAGAGGAUCUGCUCCUAGUACGAGAGGACCAGAGUGGACUUACCGCUGGUGUACCAGUUGUCUUGCCAAAGGCAUCGCUGGGUAGCUAUGUAGGGAAGGGAUAAACGCUGAAAGCAUCUAAGUGUGAAACCCACCUCAAGAUGAGAUUUCCCAUGAUUAUAUAUCAGUAAGAGCCCUGAGAGAUGAUCAGGUAGAUAGGUUAGAAGUGGAAGUGUGGCGACACAUGUAGCGGACUAAUACUAAUAGCUCGAGGACUUAUCCAA
rnacentral:rRNA from 1 species